rnacentral:rRNA from 1 species
UAAACGACUCUCGGCAACGGAUAUCUCGGCUCUCGCAUCGAUGAAGAACGUAGCGAAAUGCGAUACUUGGUGUGAAUUGCAGAAUCCCGUGAACCAUCGAGUCUUUGAACGCAAGUUGCGCCCAAAGCCGUUAGGCUGAGGGCACGUCUGCCUGGGCGUCAC